GUGCGAGGUAGCGUAAUCAUUUGUCUUUUAAAUAGAGACCUGUAUGAAUGGCAUAACGAGGGUUUAACUGUCUCCCUCCCCUAGUCAAUGAAAUUGAUCUGCCCGUGCAGAAGCGGACAUAAAUACAUAAGACGAGAAGACCCUAUGGAGCUUUAGACAAAAGAUCAAACAUGUAAAGAAACCAAAUCAACCAAAAGGAACACAAAGGCCACAAAACCCAACGUAAAAUGAUCCAAAUGUCUUCGGUUGGGGCGACCAUGGGGGAAAGAAAAACCCCCACGAGGAACUAGGGGCAAUCCAUUAAGCCAAGAGAUACACCUCUAAGCAACAGAAAAUCUGACCAAAAAUGACCCAGGACACUAAUCCUGAUCAACGAACCAAGUUACCCUAGGGAUAACAGCGCAAUCCUUUCCCAGAGUCCAUAUCGACGAAAGGGUUUACGACCUCGAUGUUGGAUCAGGACAUCCUAAUGGUGCAGCCGCUAUUAAGGGUUCGUUUGUUCAACGAUUAACAGUCCUACGUGAUCU
rnacentral:rRNA from 1 species